rnacentral:rRNA from 1 species
CACGUAGGGGGCAAGCGUUGUCCGGAUUCAUUGGGCGUAAAGAGCUCGUAGGCGGUUCGAUAAGUCGGGUGUGAAACCUCCAGGCUCAACCUGGAGACGCCACCCGAUACUGUCGUGACUAGAGUCCAGUAGGGGAGCGUGGAAUUCCUGGUGUAGCAGUGAAAUGCGCAGAUAUCAGGAGGAACACCAGCGGCGAAGGCGGCGCUCUGGGCUGGAACUGACGCUGAGGAGCGAAAGCGUGGGGAGCGAACAGG